GUUUCUGUCAUGCAGUCGACUUGGAAUUCGAUGCGCUAAUCGGCUUAAGGGCGUACAGCUCUGGCUCUGGCUCGGCUCUCUCGUUCCUCCAUUGGGCCUGCUAAAUGGAUUUGAGUGUUUUAAUUAGCAGAAGAAAAUGCUGCAAAUUGUCGUGGCAUUUUGUAUGGGGGGUGGGGAGAAUUACAUGCCAUUCCAGUUUAAUGGUCUUUAAAAUCCUAAAGAAACUCUUUUGAAACAUUUUUGUUUUUUUUUUUUUGGUUUGUCUGGCAAAUUCUCAACAUUUUCCCGACUUUGUUAAUGCAUUUUCCUUUUUGGCAUUGGCAAAAGGAAAUAAAUCAAGAAAAAAAAUGGUAGAAAAAUGCUGGCAAAAAGAGAGAAGAAAGAGAGAGAGAGAGAGCAGUGCCUGUGCCCGUGCCCGUGCCCUCUGCCAAAUAAAUCAUUUUUGGAUUUUUGUGAUUAUUAAAUAAAAUAUAUAUGCAAAAUAUUUAGAACCGUUUUAAUGUUAUCAACAGCUGCUUGGAG
rnacentral:lncRNA from 1 species